rnacentral:rRNA from 1 species
GGGUCAGUAGGUUGGUCGUGCCACCGGUACGUACUGGUCUCACUGAUUCCUCCUUCCUGAAGAACCGUAAUGCCAUUAAUUUGGUGUUGCGGGGAAACAGGACUGUUACUUUGAAAAAAUUAGAGUGUUUAAAGCAAGCUAACGCUUGAAUACAUCAGCAUGGGAUAAUGAAACAGGACGAUCGAUCCUAUUUUGUUGGUUUCUAGGAUUGACGUA